AUUCAUCUGACGAGUCUUAAAUAGGAUGAAACACACAUCAUGGAU
rnacentral:hammerhead_ribozyme from 1 species